rnacentral:rRNA from 1 species
AGUGAACGCUGGCGGUAGGCCUAACACAUGCAAGUCGAACGGCAGCACAGUAAGAGCUUGCUCUUACGGGUGGCGAGUGGCGGACGGGUGAGGAAUACAUCGGAACCUACUUUUUCGUGGGGGAUAACGUAGGGAAACUUACGCUAAUACCGCAUACGACCUACGGGUGAAAGUAGGGGAUCUUCGGACCUUGCGCGAUUGAAUGAGCCGAUGUCGGAUUAGCUAGUUGGCGGGGUAAAGGCCCACCAAGGCGACGAUCCGUAGCUGGUCUGAGAGGAUGAUCAGCCACACUGGAACUGAGACACGGUCCAGACUCCUACGGGAGGCAGCAGUGGGGAAUAUUGGACAAUGGGCGCAAGCCUGAUCCAGCCAUACCGCGUGGGUGAAGAAGGCCUUCGGGUUGUAAAGCCCCUUUGUUGGGAAAGAAAAGCAGCAGGUUAAUACCCCGCUGUUCUGACGGUACCCAAAGAAUAAGCACCGGCUAACUUCGUG